rnacentral:rRNA from 1 species
UACGUAGGAGACGAGCGUUGUCCGGAGUUACUGGGCGUAAAGGGUGCGCAGGUGGCGGCGCGCGUGGGGGGGUGAAAUCGCCCGGCUUAACUGGGCGGGGGCCUUCCAGACGGCGUGGCUUGAGCAGCGGAGGGGGACGUGGAAUUCCGGGUGGAGCGGUGAAAUGCGUAGAGAUCGGGAGGAGCACCCGUAGCGGAAGGCGGCGCGUCUGGGCCGGUACUGACGCUGAGGAGCGAAAGCGUGGGGGAGCAAACAGGA